UGUAGGAGUGAGCCUGCUCGCGAUGGGGUCGUGUCAGUCAAUGAUUGCUCGUCUGACACACUGCUAUCGCGAGCAGGCUCACUCCUACA
rnacentral:misc_RNA from 1 species